rnacentral:rRNA from 1 species
GACGAACGCUGGCGGCGCGCUUAAUACAUGCAAGUCGAGCGAGAACCAGGGCUUCGACUCUGGGGACAGCGGCGAACGGGUGAGUAACACGUGGGUAAUCAACCCCCGACACCGGGAUAGCCCAGGGAAACUUGGAUUAAUACCGGAUGCCCCGUCUGGCCUUCGGGCCGGCCGGAAAAGGGUAGCUUCGGCCUCUGGUCGGGGACGAGCCCGCGGCGGAUUAGCUUGUUGGUGAGGUAAAGGCUCACCAAGGCGACGAUCAGUAGCUGGUCUGAGAGGACGAUCAGCACACUGGGACGGAGACACGGCCCAGACUCCUACGGGAGGCAGCAGUAGGGAAUCUUGCGCAAUGGGCGAAAGCCUGACGCAGCGACGCCGCGUGAGGGAAGAAGGCCUUCGGGUUGUAAACCUCUUUCAGGAUGGACGAAGCCACUCGGGUUAAUAGCCUAGAGGGUGACGGUACCUCCAGAAGAAGCCCCGGCUAACUACGUGCCAGCAGCCGCCGCCG